rnacentral:lncRNA from 1 species
AUUUUAAAACUGUUACUUUUUGAAGACAAACUUUUGUUGCCAUCAUUGAAAUGUUCUUAAAAGUGUCAAGAUGUUAAAAAAGUGGCGAAUAAAAGAAGAAAGCUGAUUGACAAUAAACAUAGAAAAAAAUUUUAUCUGAAAAAUGAUAGAAAUAUUAUCUCAUUGGUCAAGUUUAUGUUUUUAUGCCCCACCUACGAUAGUAGAGGGGCAUUAUGUUUUCUUGUCUGUGCCUCCGUUCAUCCGUUCGUCCGUCCGUCUGUGCGUCCGUUCGCUUCAGGUUAAGGUUUUUGGUCAAGGUAGUUUUUUGAAGAAGUUGAAGUCUAAUCAACUUGAAACUUAGUACACAUGUUCCCUAUGAUAUGAUCUUUCUAAUUUUAAUUCCAAAUUAAAGUUUUGACCCUAAUUUCACGGUCCACUGAACAUAGAAAAUGAUAGUGCGAGUGGGGCAUCCGUGUACUUGGGACACAUUCUUGUUUUAUUUUCAUUUAAGAUAGAACAUUUCUCAUUUUAUCUUCAUUUAAGAUAGAACAUUUCUCAAUAAGCUGGGUAUAGUAGUUUGUUAUAGAAACUGCUUGUAUUUUUUAAUGUUCAAGAAAUCAUCAGUUUUUCAUGGCAUAAGUACAAUUAUGAAAAGCAACUUUAAAAAGUCAGGAGUGUUGCUGAAAAACUAUAUAAAGAAAGAGCAAAUUGGAAUAUUGUGAUAUUUAUACAUAAUUGAGUUAAACAACAAAAUAAAAGAAAAACAC